CCCUUAGAUGUUCUGGGCCGCACGCGUGCUACACUGAGUGGAUCAGCGGGUCAGGUUGCGCGAAAGCGUUUCCUAAUCUUUAAAUCCGCUCGUGAUGGGGAUUGACGGUUGCAAUUUUCUGUCAUGAACGAGGAAUACCUUGUAAGCGCGGGUCAUCAUCCCGCGCUGAAUACGUCCCUGCCCUUUGUACACACCUCCCGUCGCUCCUACCGAUUGAGUGGUCCGGUGAGGCUUUGGGAUCUGAGCGGAAAGAGCGUUUCGCUGUUUCUGCUCGGAAAACUCAGUCGAACCUUAUCAUUUAGAGGAAGGAGAAGUCGUAACA
rnacentral:rRNA from 1 species